UCCGACUUAGCUCAGUUGGCAGAGCACCUGACUGUUAAUCAGGNNUCGAGCCCGGCAGUCGGAG
rnacentral:tRNA from 1 species